rnacentral:misc_RNA from 1 species
AUGAAGAACGUAGCGAAAUGCGAUAAGUAAUGUGAAUUGCAGAAUUCAGUGAAUCAUCGAAUCUUUGAACGCACAUUGCGCCCCCUGGUAUUCCGGGGGGCAUGCCUGUUCGAGCGUCAUUUCACCACUCAAGCCUCGCUUGGUAUUGGGCAACGCGGUCCGCCGCGUGCCUCAAAUCGACCGGCUGGGUCUUCUGUCCCCUAAGCGUUGUGGAAACUAUUCGCUAAAGGGUGUUCGGGAGGCUACGCCGUAAAACAACCCCAUUUCUAAGGUUGACCUCGGAUCAGGUAGGGAUACCCGCUGAACUUAAGCAUAUCAUAAGCGGAGA